GAUGAACGCUAGCGGGAGGCCUAACACAUGCAAGCCGAGCGGUAUUUGUUCUUCGGAACAGAGAGAGCGGCGCACGGGUGCGGAACACGUGUGCAACCUGCCUUUAUCUGGGGGAUAGCCUUUCGAAAGGAAGAUUAAUACCCCAUAAUAUAUUGAGUGGCAUCAUUUGAUAUUGAAAACUCCGGUGGAUAGAGAUGGGCACGCGCAAGAUUAGAUAGUUGGUGAGGUAACGGCUCACCAAGUCAAUGAUCUUUAGGGGGCCUGAGAGGGUGAUCCCCCACACUGGUACUGGGACACGGACCAGACUCCUACGGGAGGCAGCAGUGAGGAAUAUUGGACAAUGGGUUAGCGCCUGAUCCAGCCAUCCCGCGUGAAGGACGACGGCCCUAUGGGUUGUAAGCUUCUUUUGUAUAGGGAUAAACCUACUCUCGUGAGAGUAGCUGAAGGUACUAGACGAAUAAGCACCGGCUAACUCCGCG
rnacentral:rRNA from 1 species